UCUAUAGACCACAUUAUAACACUUUUGUAUAAUGAGUAAACAAACUAGCAAAGCUUCAUGGGAUAUAAGAACCACAAAGGUUUUUAUUGACCUGUGCA